AGUAAGAUAAGGCAAUGCAUGGAAAAU
rnacentral:tRNA from 1 species